rnacentral:rRNA from 1 species
CCUACGGGUGGCUGCAGUGGGGAAUAUUGCACAAUGGGGGAAACCCUGAUGCAGCGACGCCGCGUGAGUGAAGAAGUAUUUCGGUACGUAAAGCUCUAUCAGUAGGGAAGAAAAUGACGGUACCUGACUACGAAGCCCCGGCUAACUACGUGCCAGCAGCCGCGGUAAUACGUAGGGGGCAAGCGUUAUCCGGAUUUACGGGGUGUAAAGGGAGCGUAGCCGGGCUGACAAGUCAGAUGUGAAAUCCCGUGGCUCAACCACGGAACUGCAUUUGAAACUGUCGGUCUUGAGUAUCGGAGAGGCAGGCGGAAUUCCUAGUGUAGCGGUGAAAUGCGUAGAUAUUAGGAGGAACACCAGUGGCGAAGGCGGCCUGCUGGACGACAACUGACGGUGAGGCGCGAAAGCGUGGGGAGCAAACAGGAUUAGAUACCCUUGUAGUC